UACGUAGGGCGCGAGCGUUGUCCGGAAUUAUUGGGCGUAAAGCGCGCGCAGGCGGUUCUUUAAGUCUGAUGUGAAAGCCCACGGCUCAACCGUGGAGGGUCAUUGGAAACUGGGGAACUUGAGUACAGAAGAGGAAAGCGGAAUUCCACGUGUAGCGGUGAAAUGCGUAGAGAUGUGGAGGAACACCAGUGGCGAAGGCGGCUUUCUGGUCUGUAACUGACGCUGAGGCGCGAAAGCGUGGGGAGCAAACAGG
rnacentral:rRNA from 1 species